CCUACGGGAGGCAGCAGUGGGGAAUAUUGCACAAUGGGGGAAACCCUGAUGCAGCGAUGCCGCGUGAGUGAAGACGUAAUUCGUUAUGUAAAGCUCUAUCAGCAAGGACGAAAAUGACGUUACCUGAGUAAGAAGCCCCUGCUAACUACGUGCCAGCAGCCGCGGUAAUACGGAGGGGGCAAGCGUUAUCCGGAUUUACUGGGUGUAAGGGGAGCGUAGACGGCAGUGCAAGUCUGAAGUGAAAGGCGGGGGCUCAACCCCCGGACUGCUCUGGAAACUGUACGGCUGGAGUGCAGGAGAGGUAAGUGGAAUUCCUAGUGUAGCAGUGAAAUGCGUAGAUAUUAGGAGGAACACCAGUGGCGAAGGCGGCUUACUGGACUGUAACUGACGUUGAGGCUCGAAAGCGUGGGGAGCAAACAGGAUUAGAUACCCUGGUAGUC
rnacentral:rRNA from 1 species